rnacentral:rRNA from 1 species
UGGGUAACCUGCCUCGAUGACCGGGACAACCCGGGGAAACCCGGGCUAAUACCGGAUGUGCUCCUUCACAUCAGUGAAGACAGGAAAGGAAGCUUCGGCCUCCGCAUCGAGAUGAGCCCGCGGCCCAUUAGCUUGUUGGUGAGGUAACGGCUCACCAAGGCUGCGAUGGGUAGCUGGUCUGAGAGGACGAUCAGCCACACUGGGACUGAGACACGGCCCAGACCUCUACGGGAGG